CUGAACUAAUGAAACGAUUAGGAGAGUGAAAUCCUCUCCCACCACAAUUAUCCAUAGUGGUGACACUGAUACCCCGUUAUGCAUGAGUUAGGUGGUACUGGCGAAUGUAUAGAGCACGGUAAGGUCGUGGAGCUUGAUGCCUCAUCUUUGACAUAAAGAGGCUAAAUAGAGCGGGUGUCCUUAAA
rfam:Clostridium formicaceticum strain ATCC 27076, complete genome.